rnacentral:rRNA from 1 species
CGAGCCUUCGCUACCGGUUGACUUGAGGAAGGUAAGGGAGAAUCGAUUCCUGUGGAGGCGCUGAAUGCGCAGAUAUCAGACGAACACAGUGGCGAAGGCGGUUCUCUGGGCCUUUCCUGACGCUGAGGAGCGAAAGCGUGGGGAGCGACAGGCUUAGAUACCCCGGUAGUCACGCUGUAAACGGUGGGUACUAGGUGUGGGGUCCAUUCCACGGGUUCCGUGCCGUAGCUAACGCUUUAAGUACCCCGCCUGGGGAGUACGGCCGCAAGGCUAAAACUCAAAGGAAUUGACGGGGCCCCGCACAAGCGGCGGAGCAUGCGGAUUAAUUCGAUGCAACGCGUAGAACCUUACCUGGGUUUGACAUGGAUCGGGAGUGCUCAGAGAUGGGUGUGCCUCUUUUGGGGUCGGUUCACAGGUGGUGCAUGGCUGUCGUCAGCUCGUGUCGUGAGAUGUUGGGUUAAGUCCCGCAACGAGCGCAACCCUUGUUCACUGUUGCCAGCACGUUAUGGUGGGGACUCAGUGGAGACCGCCGGGGUCAACUCGGAGGAAGGUGGGGAUGACGUCAAGUCAUCAUGCCCCUUAUGUCCAGGGCUUCACGCAUGCUACAAUGGCUGGUACAGAGAGUGGCGAGCCUGUGAGGGUGAGCGAAUCUCGGAAAGCCGGUCUCAGUUCGGAUUGGGGUCUGCAACUCGACCUCAUGAAGUCGGAGUCGCUAGUAAUCGCAGAUCCAGCAACGCUGCGGUGAAUACGUUCCCGGGGCUUGUACACACCGCCCGUC